rnacentral:rRNA from 1 species
UACGUAGGGCGCAAGCGUUGUCCGGAAUUAUUGGGCGUAAAGAGCGUGUAGGCGGUUCGGUAAGUCAGCUGUGAAAGUCAAGGGCUCAACCCUUGAAAGCCGGUUGAUACUGUCGGGCUAGAGUCCGGAAGAGGCGAGUGGAAUUCCCGGUGUAGCGGUGAAAUGCGCAGAUAUCGGGAGGAACACCAAUGGCGAAGGCAGCUCGCUGGGACGGUACUGACGCUGAGACGCGAAAGCGUGGGGAGCAAACAGG